rnacentral:rRNA from 1 species
UACGAAGGGGGCUAGCGUUGCUCGGAAUUACUGGGCGUAAAGGGCGCGUAGGCGGCUCUGUUCGUCAGGCGUGAAAUUCCUGGGCUCAACCUGGGGACUGCGCUUGAUACGGCGGGGCUAGAAUGUGGAAGAGGGUCGUGGAAUUCCCAGUGUAGAGGUGAAAUUCGUAGAUAUUGGGAAGAACACCGGUGGCGAAGGCGGCGACCUGGUCCAUUAUUGACGCUGAGGCGCGACAGCGUGGGGAGCAAACAGG